AAGGUAUCUCGGGAAUGUAUGGGUUUUGUGACUCUAAUGUUCUAUCGCCUUUGACACCAACGACAAACGAGCAAGUUCGAUCUAACUAUCUAGCUCGUGUUUUUGGGUGCAAUGAGGGGAAGAACUAUAAUCAGCUAUUCUUUGCUCCUUUUAAUGACAAUAUGCAUUGGAUGUUAGCGUUAUUAGUCCGUGGAAUGGGUUGGUGUAUUGGCUAGAUCCACUUGGAGCAGAAAAUAAAAUCAACUCAUUCGCUGAAAAGAUCAUCACUGAAGGAAUCAAACAAUUCAGCUCGGUCCAUCGGAAGGACAUCAAGAAAAUAAAAAAGAAUGCAUAUAUUAGGUGGGAGCAACCACAAUGUCCUCGUCAACCAGCAUACACCAAGUAUUGUGGAUACUUUGUUUGUCGUUAUAUGCUAGAUAUUGUGCUGAAAAGAGUGCUAUGG